rnacentral:rRNA from 1 species
UCGAGCGCCGUAGCAAUACGGAGCGGCAGACGGGAGAGUAACACGUGGGAACGUACCCUUUGGUUCGGAACAACCCAGGGAAACUUGGGCUAAUACCGGAUAAGCCCUUACGGGGAAAGAUUCAUCGCCGAAGGAUCGGCCCGCGUCUGAUUAGCUAGUUGGUGGGGUAAUGGCCCACCAAGGCGACGAUCAGUAGCUGGUCUGAGAGGAUGAUCAGCCUCACUGGGACUGAGACACGGCCCAGACUCCUACGGGAGGCAGCAGUGGGGAAUAUUGGACAAUGGGCGCAAGCCUGAUCCAGCCAUGCCGCGUGGGUGAUGAAGGCCCUAGGGUUGUAAAGCCCUUUCGGCGGGGAAGAUAAUGACGGUACCCGCAGAAGAAGCCCCGGCUAACUUCGUGCCAGCAGCCGCGGUAAUACGAAGGGGGCUAGCGUUGCUCGGAAUCACUGGGCGUAAAGCGCACGUAGGCGGAUUGUUAAGUCAGGGGUGAAAUCCUGGAGCUCAACUCCAGAACUGCCUUUGAUACUGGCGAUC